rnacentral:rRNA from 1 species
CAUGCCGCGUGUGUGAAGAAGGCUUUCGGGUUGUAAAGCACUUUCAGUAGGGAGGAAAACCUUAUGGCUAAUACCCAUGAGGCUUGACGUUACCUACAGAAGAAGCACCGGCUAACUCCGUGCCAGCAACGGCGGUGACUGAGCGGGCUGGCAAGGCGCAUA